GCUCACCAAGGCGACGACGGGUAGCUGGUCUGAGAGGACGAUCAGCCACACUGGGACUGAGACACGGCCCAGACUCCUACGGGAGGCAGCAGUGGGGAAUCUUGCGCAAUGGGCGAAAGCCUGACGCAGCAACGCCGCGUGGGGGAUGAAGGCCUUCGGGUUGUAAACCCCUUUCAGUGGGAACGAAAUUGACGGUACCCACAGAAGAAGCCCCGGCCAACUACGUGCCAGCAGCCGCGGUGAUACGUAGGGGGCGAGCGUUGUCCGGAUUCAUUGGGCGUAAAGAGCUCGUAGGCGGCUUGGUAAGUCGGGUGUGAAACCUCCAGGCUCAACCUGGAGACGCCACUCGAUACUGCCCUGGCUAGAGUCCGGUAGGGGAUCACGGAAUUCCUGGUGUAGCGGUGAAAUGCGCAGAUAUCAGGAGGAACACCAGUGGCGAAGGCGGUGAUCUGGGCCGGUACUGACGCUGAGGAGCGAAAGCGUGGGGAGCGAACAGGAUUAGAUACCCUGGUAGUCCACGCCGUAAACGUUGGGCACUAGGUGUGGGGCCUUAUCGACGGGUUCCGUGCCGCAGCU
rnacentral:rRNA from 1 species